rnacentral:rRNA from 1 species
CUUACCAGGUCCAGACAUAGGUGAGGAUUGACAGAUUGAGAGCUCUUUCUUGAUUCUAUGGGGUGGUGGUGCAUGGCCGUUCUUAGUUGGUGGAGUGAUCUGUCUGGUUAAUUCCGUUAACGAACGAGACCUUAACCUAUUAAAUAGUUGCUUGAAUUGCUCUUCAAAAAGCAGUGAAGCUGCCGGGGAUUUGGCGAGUCUGGUGGCCUUAACGGGGUCAUUGGAAGCGUCAGACUCUGGUGAAGGAUCUGUUGAGUGAUUCAGCUUAUUGGCAACUUCUUAGAGGGACUAUCGAUGUUUAAUCGAUGGAAGUUUGAGGCAAUAACAGGUCUGUGAUGCCCUUAGAUGUUCUGGGCCGCACGCGUGCUACACUGACGAGUUCAGAGAGUAAGAAAUUCCUGGGCUUCAGCAGCAAUGCUGGGGCUUGUACGGAAUCUCCUUGGCCGGAAGGUCUGGGUAAUCUUUUGAAAUCUCGUCGUGCUGGGGGAUAG